rnacentral:rRNA from 1 species
CACAUGCAAGCCGAGCGGUAUUUGUCUUUCGGGACAGAGAGAGCGGCGUACGGGUGCGGAACACGUGUGCAACCUGCCUUUAUCAGGGGGAUAGCCUUUCGAAAGGAAGAUUAAUACCCCAUAAUAUAUUGACUGGCAUCAGUCGAUAUUGAAAACUCCGGUGGAUAGAGAUGGGCACGCGCAAGAUUAGAUAGUUGGUAGGGUAACGGCCUACCAAGUCAAUGAUCUUUAGGGGGCCUGAGAGGGUGAUCCCCCACACUGGUACUGAGACACGGACCAGACUCCUACGGGAGGCAGCAG